UGGGGAAUAUUGGACAAUGGGCGAAAGCCUGAUCCAGCCAUGCCGCGUGUGUGAAGAAGGUCUUCGGAUUGUAAAGCACUUUAAGUUGGGAGGAAGGGCAGUAAGCGAAUACCUUGCUGUUUUGACGUUACCGACAGAAUAAGCACCGGCUAACUCUGUGCCAGCAGCCGCGGUAAUACAGAGGGUGCAAGCGUUAAUCGGAAUUACUGGGCGUAAAGCGCGCGUAGGUGGUUCGUUAAGUUGAAUGUGAAAGCCCCGGGCUCAACCUGGGAACUGCAUCCAAAACUGGCGAGCUAGAGUAGGGCAGAGGGUGGUGGAAUUUCCUGUGUAGCGGUGAAAUGCGUAGAUAUAGGAAGGAACACCAGUGGCGAAGGCGACCACCUGGGCUCAUACUGACACUGAGGUGCGAAAGCGUGGAGAGCAAACAGG
rnacentral:rRNA from 1 species